CUCCACGGGAUGAGCGGCCGGAGUCACAGUCGUUUCUUUUCCUCUGGUUCCUGUUAUCCUAGUGCAAUUCUGGUGCCACGUAUUCAGGGUGAUUGGGGGUGGGCAUUAGGAGAAGGAGGAGGCGGUGGUAGCUUCCGCACUCGCGGAGCGGAGCCCACUAGAGAUUCGCUCGUGGCGGAAUUUGAGCCGCUCCCAAGAGCUUGAUCCUGAGCCAAUGACCGAACAGUGACGAUCAAAUGAAAAAAUUGAAUGUUUAACACUGGAUAAACAGUAUAAAUCAAGAAGAGAACUGAAACAACCAUCUAGUUUCUGAAAGUCAAGUAAAAAGAACGUUGUGAAUCUUAUUGUUUUCUUUACAACAAUCAAAAUGAGGCAGCUGAAAGGAAAACCAAGAAAAGAAACUUCAAAAGACAAAAAGGAAAGAAGGCAAGCCAUGCAAGAGGCUCGCAGUCAGAUUACCACCAUAGUGUUUCCCACAUUAGCUGUAGUUGUCCUGUUAAUUGUUUUGUUUGUUUACGUGGCCACGCGACCAACCAUUGCGUGAAAGAAAUAUUACAGAGCAUUUUAUGAAGAAAUUUCAUCUCCACUGUAAUUGAUUAAAAUUGAGUAAAUCCAUCCAGGAUUAAACGCCUCUCAAUUAUGGAAACAUCUGUCCAAAUUUAAUUCCAUGUUUUCUGGUCUUAACGUGUUUUUAAGAGUAUUGUUACCCAGUGGUAUAGUAUACACAUGCUCAUUUCUCUUGUAUGUGCCUUUGAAGCAUUUGCUGGGACAUUUUUGUUUGCCCUUUAAAAGAAUUUGGAAGCAUUUCUUGUAUCCUGUGCAGAAAUUAAGUGUAACUUAACUAAUGCUGUAAUUCAAAAAAAUUGUCUGAGGCCAUUUUGUUGCAUUGUCUGUACAGUAGUCUUGUUUUAAACACAUUUUUAGGAUGAACUUCACCACUCUUGCCAAAGGAUAAUCCAUUCUUGUUUUGGAUGCAUAUCACUUGAAAUACAAUGAUUAUAAAUUGUAAAUGUUUAUUUUUAGAAUAAAAUCAAAAUGUUCAUA